AUUAAAAUAAAAUAGCGUAUUUAAUUAAAUGUAUUUAAAACAAAGUGUUACUAAUAUUUAUAGUAGUAUACUAUUCUUUUUACUUAAAUAGUAUAAUUUUUUGGAGCACCCUCUUCCUCUUCUUCUUACUCUCUCCUCCCCUUACUCUUUCUUCCCAUCCCUCCCUCCACCUCCUCCUCCUCCCCUUCCUCUUCCUCUUCCUCAUCUUCCUCUGCUGCUCUUCCUCCUCCUCAAA
rnacentral:lncRNA from 1 species